rnacentral:lncRNA from 1 species
UUGCCUUGGGAUAUGAAGACAGAAGAGCUGAACAUGGAGGAAGUUUUUGGACUGACAACUCCAAGGAAGGUCCCACUUGUUGCUGUCAUGGAGCCUAGACUCCAAAACCAUCUUUACUAGUCGUGCCUUAGACCUAUGUUUUUGAAGAUGAUCGGAAAAGUGUCCUUCUAGCUCGAUUGCAUGGGCUGGUUUUUAUAUAACAGGGUUGCCUGGCCAUGUGGUAGGCUGGUCAGUCAUUUUCCUGCCUUUUACAAGAAUACAAAAAUGCCUUUUGACUAAUAGGCAAAGGCAGUCAGCUUUCCAUCAAGCGUUUGGUGUGUUAUUAGUUCACCUCGUCAGGUAUUCUUCUUGGAGGGUAGCACGUUGGGGAUGUACUGCUUUUUGGCACCUCCAGUUUUAUUAAUAUUAUUCAGUUGUGUGUAAUGGUUUUGAUCCGUUAAUUGUAUUUCUUCUGUUCUCUAUCCAUGAAUGCAUUAGUGGCUUGCUUAAUUAAUAACAAACCUUUGAAAAAUGAGGUUACUGAUGUUGUCAAAGGAUACACAUAAUUGUAUUUAGACACAUGGCAGAGUGAUCCCUGUAUAAGAAACAAAAUAAGGAAUAUGGGAGUUUAUAGAGAUACGACACCUCGUACACUACUACAUCUCAUCUUCAUCAACCCUAGACCUUUAUCACCUUUUAACAUGUCGGCAUGCUGCAUGCCACUUCUAAUUUUGUUGGUGAAUAAAGCGUAUGUGAUUCUAUUGGAUGAUUAGCUUCUUAUUGUCAAAAAGGCGCAAAAAAUAUCUUACAGUAAGCAAAAAAGAUUAUCGACAGGCUGCCAUGCAUAUCAUAUGCUUAAAACAUUCUUGUCCUUAUUCAAAUUCAGUCACUUUCCUUAAUCUUUCAUCAAUCUAAUUUCUUCCUUAAGUGCUAUUCCAACAACCCUAUCUUAUCUUAAAUUUAGAGACAUUUAUAUAAUUUGAAAUUUUAAAAAGGCUUUUUUUUAAAAAUAAAUAUUUAUAUAAUUUUAAAAUUUUGUGAGAAAACAAAUGAGAUAUUUUCAUUAUUUUGGUCUUUGCAAUCACCCACUAUCUUUAUUUAUUUCCCAUAUUAUAAAAAAUUGAAAAGAUAAAAUAAAGAAAAUAAAUACAGAAAGUCUUCAAAGAACAGAUUACUUUGUUGUACCAUUUAAAAGUAAGAGUCUAACCUUGAUCCAUCUUUAUAUAUGUAAAUUAAAAUUCUAAAUAUAAUUUAGGUGGUGAUAAAUUUUAUUUCAAAUUUAAAAACUUAGGAGUAUUUACAAAUGUUCAUCAUAAAAUAAAAGAAAAAUAAAAGGAAAGUAAAGAGGCAAGAUGGAGAUGGGGAAAAAAAUUAGGGAAAAUAAUAAUAAUAAUAAUAAUAAUAAUAAUAAUAAUAAUAAUAAUAAUUAAAUAGACAUAGGAAAAUAAUUUUUAGAGUUUUAGUUUAAAUAAAUAAUUGAAAAAAAUGGAUUAUAAAUAUAAUUGAUAAUAAGAGUUUUAUAUAAAUUGGCAAUUUCCUAUAGAUGAAAAUAAUAUUACUUAUAUAGAAAAUUAGGAAUUAGAGUAUUAAUAAUUACAUCAAAGAGAAUAAUAUUAAUGCAAAUGGUAUCAAGAACGUCAAAUACUAAUUUUUAAUUUUUGAUAAAUAGCCGAUUGAAAUAAUUAUUCUUUGAACUAUGUUAUGUUAUGUGUGGAUUAAGUUCUUUAUGAUCAAGUAAUGUUUUUAUGAAAUGUAUUAUGAUUUUAAAUUGGGAAUUUCGAUCAUAUGAUUUAUUGAUCAUUGUGUAAGUGGAUUUUAGUUUAUAAUUUAUUAUAAUGACUUUGAAAUUUUGAUUAUUAGUGGUCUUGCUCAAUAGAGUAUAAAUUAUUAACCUUCGUUACCCUUGAUAGGGGGUAGUGAUGCUAUGCAAUCCUAACCAAUAAGAUGCUAUUAACCUUUGGUAUGCUAUUGAUUGAAUGUUGAUGGGGGAACAAAAUGAAGCUACCCAUCUAGUGCAAAUUCCAUUAUUUGGUUAUAGUGUUAUUAUCAGCGAAAUAGAGUAAAAUAUUUAUUUAUAAAAUCAUUUUGAACAUGAACUUCUACUAUUAAGUGUAUUAUAUUGUUUUAUACUUUUUGAAGUGUCAAUUUUUUUUCAAAAAAAAAAUGUAAACUUAAUUAUUAAAUUAAAUGAGUAGAUUUUUCUUAUUGACUUAUUUUUUCUUAUCGUGUUAAAUAUCGAAUUCACUCUUUUUUUAUAAUUCCACUUUUCAAUUACAAGUGAUGCCAAUGAAGAGAGAUUGUAAUAUAAUUAAGAGUGUUUUUAUUAUAAACAGUUUUGAAAUAGAUAUUGUUUAUGAUUAUUAACUUAAGACUAAUUGUAGUUGUAACUUCUAAAAAUUAAAUUUUAUAGAAUCAUUGAAGUCAUCGUUGAGAUAUUUUAAUUAUUUUUGGUUUUGCUAGUCAACUUAAUUUAUGUAUUAAGUUAUUGGAUUUGACAUGUGAAAUGGCUGUGAUGCUCUUAGCCUUCGGGUUCGAGGUAUCAGAGCCAUUGUCAUCACUUCACGGCCUUCCAACUGGGUAGGCUUGCUCGAAGUCACACCCUCAAAUCACUAGCAUGAAAGCUAGCUUUUACCUUGUUAGGUGAACCGGCUUAGGAAACUGUAAACUGAGAUCCAAUCAAUAAGCAAGAAGUUCAAUUAUUGAAGUUCUUAUUCAUUUGAGUGCUCUUCGACUACUUUAUGUAAAAAAUUUCAUGAAAGGGCCAAGAGGAUAUACAUAUGAUCAGGCAUGGAUGAUGCUUGGUGAUCCCAUACAGUACUCUCACGUGAUAUACGGGCCAAGGAUUAACGAGUAUUCUUGUAGUAAUAACGUUAAGAUAUGAACCCUAAUGGAAAUACUAACUAGAACACGCACGAAAGUAUUAAGCUAUGGUAUCCAUUAGCAUUGGCCAUUAGUUGAAGGUUGCAGUCCUCUAUAGAUCUCCAUUAAUGAUUCUUUUGUGUUAAAUUUAUAAAUGUUUUCUCCAUACUUUUGUGUCAUAUUGGUGGACCCUGGAAGAUCCGUCCUUACAACCAGCCAUAUCAGUAAGACAUUUUUAUUGGGUUUCUGGUAAAUAAAUAUUAGCAUAAAUUGGAAGGCGGUGGCUGUCCAUUUCUGCAGUGAUACACCAUUGUCUUUUUUAAGCUUUUAGUAUUUAAUAAAAUAUUCAAGCUUUUGUAAAUGGUUGAAUAACACUAUCAACAUGUGAUUCACAUGAGUUUAAUAUGUGAUUUCAACCAUGGCCAAUCAUGGGCAACCUAAACCUCAUUGGCCAUCUCCCCCACCGGUCCCUCCACAAACUGUCCCAAAAAUAUGGACAAAUAAUGGAGCUUCGAUUUGGGUCUUUCCCAGUUGUAGUGGCCUCAUCUUCAGAAAUGGAAAAGCAAUUCUUAAAGACAAACGAUCACCUCUUUGCCUCCAGGCCUCACACUGCUGCCGGAAAGUACACUAAUUAUAACUACUCCAACAUCACCUGGGCUCCUUACGGUCCAUACUGGCGCCAAGGGCGUAAAAUCUUCCUCACAGAGAUGUUCAGCUCGAAAAGGCUCGAGUCUUAUGAGUACAUUCGGGUUGAAGAAAGGCAGGCUUUCAUCUCCCGCCUCUACGCAUUGUCAGGAAAGCCAGUCAUGCUUAAAGAACAUCUCUCUCGCGUUACUCUCAGCGUUAUAAGCAGAAUUGUACUGGGGGAGAAGUACUUCAGUGAGUUCGAAUCCGGGAGGUCAAUGGUGACGGUGGAAGAGUGUCAGAAGAUGCUGGUUGAGUUGCUCUUGCUUAAUGGUGUGUUGAAUAUUGGGGAUUGGAUACCGUGGAUCGCAUUCUUGGACUUGCAGGGGUAUGUGAAGAGGAUGAAGGCUUUGCGCCAUAAAUUUGAUAGGUUUUAUGAUCAUGUGCUUGAGAAACACAGGGCCAGGAGAGAAGCAGAGGACUUUGUGGCUAGGACAUGGUGGAUAUGCUUCUGAGAUUGGCUGAUGAUCCUGAUAUUGAGGUUAAGCUCACUACUGAUGGGAUCAAAGGGUUUACACAGGUUAGUGUUAUAUGAGUUCAUGAACAUAUCCAACCAUUCAAAUUAGGCCUAUUCUAUUGAAACCUCGUGAUAAUUUUGCUUGUUUUGUUGUUUCAUGGUCAAGACCUAAUAGCUGGUGGUACAGAUACCUCAGCUACUACUCUGGAAUGGGCGAUGUCCGAGGUCUUGAGGCAGCCAAACAUAGCUAACAAGGCAACCGAAGAGCUGGAUAGAGUUAUAGGGAGAAAUAGAUGGGUGGAAGAGAAAGACAUUCCCCAACUUCCUUACAUAGAUGCAAUUGUGAAGGAGACAAUGAGGCUACACCCUGUUGCUGUCCUGCUUGCCCCUCACCUGGCUCUUCAGGACUGCCAUGUAGCUGGCUAUGAUAUUCGCAAAGGAACCCGAGUCCUAAUAAACACAUGGAGCAUAGGGCGGGACCCCAAUCUAUGGGAUGCACCUGAGGAAUUUUUCCCAGAGAGGUUCCUAGGGAAGGCAAUUGAUGUAAAGGGGCAAAACUUUGAGCUACUGCCAUUUGGUUCAGGGCGGAGGAUGUGUCCUGGCUACAGCCUUGCCCUAAAGAUGAUUGGAUCCAGCUUGGCUAACAUGUUGCAUGGAUUCCACUGGAAAUUGCCUGGAGAUAUGAAGCCAGAAGAGCUGAACAUUGAGGAAGUGUUUGGACUGACAACUCCAAGGAAGGUCCCACUUGUUGCUUUCAUGGAGCCUAGACUCCCAAGUCAUCUUUACUAGUCGUGCCUUAGACCUAUGUUUUCUUAAUAUUAUUCAGUUGUGUGCAAUGGUUUUAGUCUGUUAAUUCUAUUUCUCCUGUUCUCUAUCCAUGAAUGCAUUAGUGGCUUGCUCAAUUGAUAACAAACAUUACAAAAAUGAGGUUACGGUUAACAAAAGAUACACCUAAUGCCAAACUUUUCAAUUGUGUCGAUGGUGUAUAUGUCACUAAUGAUCUCAUUUCUUAGGACUUCAUUUUCUUUUCUCAUGUGGGGGAGGCAGCCAUGAAUCAGUCAGUUGCUUCAUUGUUAAUCAAAGAAAAUGAGGCGAAUUUGAAAGAAUUGAUUCAGAUA